rnacentral:rRNA from 1 species
AAACGACUMUCGGCAACGGAUAUCUUGGCUCACGCAUCGAUGAAGAACGUAGCAAAAUGCGAUACUUGGUGUGAAUUGCAGAAUCCCGUGAACCAUCGAGUUUUUGAACGCAAGUUGCGCCCGAAGCCAUUCGGCCGAGGGCACGCCUGCCUGGGCGUCAC